rnacentral:rRNA from 1 species
CUUACACAUGCAAGUCGAGCGGGGAGAUGUAGCUUGCUACAUUUCCUAGCGGCGGACGGGUGAGUAAUGCUUAGGAAUCUGCCUAUUAGUGGGGGACAACAUUCCGAAAGGAAUGCUAAUACCGCAUACGCCCUACGGGGGAAAGCAGGGGAUCUUCGGACCUUGCGCUAAUAGAUGAGCCUAAGUCAGAUUAGCUAGUUGGUGGGGUAAAGGCCUACCAAGGCGACGAUCUGUAGCGGGUCUGAGAGGAUGAUCCGCCACACUGGGACUGAGACACGGCCCAGACUCCUACGGGAGGCAGCAGUGGGGAAUAUUGGACAAUGGGCGAAAGCCUGAUCCAGCCAUGCCGCGUGUGUGAAGAAGGCCUUUUGGUUGUAAAGCACUUUAAGCGAGGAGGAGGCUACUUAGAUUAAUACUCUAGGAUAGUGGACGUUACUCGCAGAAUAAGCACCGGCUAACUCUGUGCCAGCAGCCGCGGUAAUACAGAGGGUGCGAGCGUUAAUCGGAUUUACUGGGCGUAAAGCGUGCGUAGGCGGCUUUUUAAGUCGGAUGUGAAAUCCCUGAGCUUAACUUAGGAAUUGCAUUCGAUACUGGGAAGCUAGAGUAUGGGAGAGGAUGGUAGAAUUCCAGGUGUAGCGGUGAAAUGCGUAGAGAUCUGGAGGAAUACCGAUGGCGAAGGCAGCCAUCUGGCCUAAUACUGACACUGAGGUACGAAAGCAUGGGGAGCAAACAAGAUUAGAUACCCUGGUAGUCCGUGCCGUAAACGAUGUCUACUAGCCGUUGGGGCCUUUGACGCUUUAGUGGCGCAGCUAACGCGAUAAGUAGACCGCCUGGGGAAUUACGUCGCAUGACUAAACUCAAAUGAGUUGACGGGGGCCC